AUUCAUUGGAAAUGGGAUUUAUUGAUGGUUUUUGAGCAGAAGACACUGGUAUAGGUUUAAGGUAGAGCCUGAUUAAGACUUUCAUAAACCUCAAGAAUACUGAUUGUGGAUCCCAAACCCCCAUCUGUAUACUUCAAAAUUAAAACAGUACCAAACAUUAAAACACAAAACAUCAGAUACAUCGAUGAUGAAAAAGUUUUGUUCUACAUCUUCAGAACAUAAAAUGCUGAGUACAAAAACAGAAUGCUUUUCUAGGUCUUUCUCUACUCCUUAUCACCCAAGACUGGAAUGGACCUCUUUCUUUACUAUAGAUCACACACUUAGAAAUGUAUAGAAUUUUAUAAGAUUUGAACCCAGAGAUCUAAGAAAAUUAAGUGGUCAUUGUCCAACUAUACAUUUUCUUCACAGGAAAUUUAAUAAUGGCAUAGCAUAAUUAUUUCAGAACCAAUCCUCUCACUUUUUCAGCCUCACAGAAUGCACUGAGAGUGGCCUCGUCGUCCAUCUCAUGUGUCUUUCUUGAAGCUCUUAAAAUCAACACUAGUGAAGUUUUAAGUGAAUCUUGAUUUUGUAUAUUUAUUACGUUAGAUGAGAACCUUCCUAAAUUUGGUGGACGAUAAUGAAAAUAGUUUGCAAGUCACGCAGUCGUAUUCCAGCAUUCAAU
rnacentral:lncRNA from 1 species